UACGAAGGGGGGCUAGCGUUGCUCGGAAUGACUGGGCGUAAAGGGCGCGUAGGCGGCUCAUACAGUCAGAUGUGAAAUUCCUGGGCUUAACCUGGGGGGCUGCAUUUGAUACGUGUGGGCUUGAGUGGGGAAGAGGGUCGUGGAAUUCCCGGUGUAGAGGUGAAAUUCGUAGAUAUCGGGAGGAACACCGGUGGCGAAGGCGGCGAUCUGGGGUAGAUACUGACGCUGAGGUGCGAAAGCGUGGGGAGCAAACAGG
rnacentral:rRNA from 1 species